rnacentral:rRNA from 1 species
CUGCAGUCGAGGGGCAGCGCAGUGUAGCAAUACAUGGGCGGCGACCGGCAAACGGGUGCGGAACACGUACGCAACCUUCCUUCAAGCGGGGCAUAGCUUUCGGAAACGAAAAUUAAUACCCCAUAGUAAUGUCUGAGGGCAUCUGAGGACAUUUAAAGAUUUAUCACUUGAAGAUGGGCGUGCGCCUGAUUAGGUAGUUGGCGGGGUAACGGCCCACCAAGCCUACGAUCAGAAACUGGUGUGAGAGCACGACCAGUCACACGGGCACUGAGACACGGGCCCGACUCCUACGGGAGGCAGCAGUAAGGAAUAUUGGUCAAUGGACGCAAGUCUGAACCAGCCAUGCCGCGUGGAGGAUGAAGGUCCUCUGGAUUGUAAACUUCUUUUAUCGGAGAAGAAACCCCUGAAUUCUUUUAGGGUUGACGGUACCCGAUGAAUAAGCACCGGCUAACUCCGUGCCAGCAGCCGCGGUAAUACGGAGGGUGCAAGCGUUAUCCGGAUUCACUGGGUUUAAAGGGAGCGUAGGUGGGCUGGUAAGUCAGUGGUGAAAUCUCCGGGCUUAACUCGGAAACUGCCGUUGAUACUAUCAGUCUUGAAUGUUGUGGAGGUAAGCGGAAUAUGUCAUGUAGCGGUGAAAUGCUUAGAUAUGACAUAGAACACCGAUAGCGAAGGCAGCUUGCUACACAAUUAUUGACACUGAGGCUCGAAAGCGUGGGGAUCAAACAGGAUUAGAUACCCUGGUAGUCCACGCCCUAAACGAUGGAUACUCGACAUAUGCGAUACACUGUAUGUGUCUGAGCGAAAGCAUUAAGUAUCCCACCUGGGAAGUACGACCGCAAGGUUGAAACU